AGAUACCCUGUUACACUAAGAAUAAUAUUAAAAAUAUGACUUGAGUACUUAUAAUUAAUUAGUUUGAAAUUCAAAGAACCUGGCGGUACUUUAGUCUAGUUAGAGGAACCUGUUGUAUAAACGAUAAACCACGUAGAAUCUUUCUUAUUCUUGUAAAGUUAGUAUACCUUCAUUGUUAGAUAAUUUUUAUUCAUGGAUUAUCGUAAUUGCGGUUUCAAGUAUAUUAGAUCAAGGUGCUGCUUAUGAAUAAGUACAAAUGGGUUACAAUAUCUUUAGUUAGGCGGAUCAUGUUAAGAACUUGACAUGUGAAGGUGGAUUUAAUUGUAAGUCUUAGCUUUAAUAAGGUAAGAUGAUAAUAGCUCUAAAGUGUGUACAUA
rnacentral:rRNA from 1 species